GACGAACGCUGGCGGCGUGCUUAACACAUGCAAGUCGAACGGGCCUUGUCCCCUUUUUUUUUGGGGGUGGGGUUAGUGGCGAACGGGUGAGUAACACGUGAGUAACCUGCCCCUCACUUCUGGAUAACCGCUUGAAAGGGUGGCUAAUACGGGGUGUUCUGGCCUGCUCGCAUGGGUGGGUUUGGAAAGAUUCGACCGGUUUUGGUUGUUUUGGUGGGGGAUGGGCUCGCGGCCUAUCAGCUUGUUGGUGGGGUGAUGGCCUGCCAAGGCUUUGACGGGUAGCCGGCCUGAGAGGGUGGGCGGUCACACUGGGACUGAGACACGGCCCAGACUCCUACGGGAGGCAGCAGUGGGGAAUAUUGCACAGUGGGCGCAAGCCUGAUGCAGCGACGCCGCGUGAGGGAUGGAGGCCUUCGGGUUGUGAACCUCUUUCGCCAGUGAAGAAGGUCCUGCUCUUUGUGGUGGGGUUGACGGUAGCUGGGUUAAUGAAGCGCCGGCUAACUACGUG
rnacentral:rRNA from 1 species